rnacentral:lncRNA from 1 species
CACCUUAGCUGAGGUGCCACUUCCACCCAGAGAAGACAGGCCUUCUCUGCCUGCCUUAUCCAUCUCAAAAACAGCAACAACAAAGACAAAAACUGGGCUAAGUGUCCUCUAGCAAAGUCCCCAACACCCUUAACUUUUCCAUAUUUACUACUGCCCUCUCCAGGCUCCUUUCAAAUGGGGUCCUGGCAUCUCUCAGAUCAAAGCACAGAAAACACACAAUAAACGCAGAACAAAUGGACAAAUGACUGAAUGGAUUAUCAUGUAACAUCAAGACAUGGAUGUCUGCACUGGGGCUUCUUUGUGGCAUGACCAGCUGUUGCAGAGUCAGGGAGCAAUAUCCACCCCUGGACAGUGCAUAAAAUGAAGGCUUUGCUCCUCUACCACGUCAUCCCCAACAACAAUCAGCAGAAAAGUGAAACCUGAACUUGAAAUAGCUAUGGAAGCAUGAAUUUUGCCUUAAUAAAAUAAUAGCCUC